GCGCCCGUAGCUCAGCUGGAUAGAGCACCAGGCUUCGACCCUGGGUGUCGGCAGUUCGAAUCUGUCCGGGCGCA
rnacentral:tRNA from 1 species